rnacentral:lncRNA from 1 species
GAUUCAAGAACACAUUUCAUUAUGAAGUGGAGAGGGGAAAUCCCCCAAACUCCCUUAAGGCUCCAAAUCGCCAUUUACAUGCUUAUUUAUAAGCUCAAUAGGUUUACACAAUCUGAAACCUAUAUCUAAUGGAUAAUAUUAACUUGUAAUGAAUGGAUGGCUAGGAUGGAAAGUUGGUCUUGCAAUCUGUGUGAUCUGUCUUGAUUGGAGGAGAGCUAGUUGAUAUCUGAUUGGUUUAUUCAAACUGGUCAAAGGGAAGGCUGUUCUCCCAUUGGCUCCUUAUAGGCUCCCAUGUAUCCAGCCCUUAUUCAGAUCAGGUUCAUGGUAAAGGCUGUCUUUCACUUUACAGCUACAGCCAGCCUGUCCAUACUCCAAAGUAGCCAAUCAGCUCCAUCUCAGCUCUCAUUGGCCGCUUGCCUUCACAAGGGAUCUCCUUGAUUCCCUUUUGAUGCUCCACGACCAGACUCCUUUUACUCAGCCCUAAGUGUGCACAAAGCCUCCAUGACAUGUUCUGAUCACGCCCUAACUUUGCACAUCUUGUCCCGGACUUUGCACAAUCUCAAAACAUCUCAAAUGGCCAAGUUGUGUAUCCUCGGGUUGUCUCGGUCCGUACGGAUCCGUACAGGUCCGUACCAUCCGUACUGCCUCGCCCUAAGUAUGCACACUUGCCCAUUUGCUCCCAAACACUCUUCUAAGUCCCUCCUGGACUUGGCCCUAUCUUUGCACAGCCAUAUGAGCACUUCUGGACACCUUCAAACACUCCUAAAGUCUUCAUAGAUAAUCUCCGGAGGUCUUGCCCUAUUCUUGCUCAAGACUCAAUCUCAACUCAACACUUCACCACUCCAUUUCUUUUCUUCAAGUCAACACUCCCCCUCAAGCUUGACUUUAGCUGAUCCUAAGUCAAGCUUGGAACCUUGAAGAACUUCCUCAUUAAAAACCUCACCAAGGAAAACCCUUUGGGACAAAACCUUGAUGAGGGAAAAAGAGUAAAGCCUCCAAGGCCUAGGGAUUGGCCAGUGAGUCUUUGUGCCUUACCAGCAAUGUAAGGGACACAAAGACUCUGGAUCAUGGCC